UACGUAGGGUGCGAGCGUUAAUCGGAAUUACUGGGCGUAAAGCGCACGUAGGUGGUUUGUAAGUCGGAUGUGAAAUCCCGGGCUCAACCCGGGAACUGCAUUCGAGACUGCAUUACUCGAGUAUGGGAGAGGGAAGCGGAAUUUCCGGUGUAGCGGUGAAAUGCGUAGAUAUCAAGUGGAACACCGGUGGCGGAAGGCGGCUCUCUGGGCCUUACCUGACGCUGAGGAGCGAAAGCGUCGGGUAGCGAACAGG
rnacentral:rRNA from 1 species